rnacentral:rRNA from 1 species
GUAGUAAUAGAUAUUAACUUGAAACUUAAAGAAUUUGGCGGUAUUUUAAUUUUUUCAGAGGAACCUGUUCUAUAAUCGAUAUUCCACGUUAAAUUUUACUAAAUUGUUUAUAUAUCGUUGUCGAAAGAAUAAAUUUUCUAGUAUUUUUAAGAAAAUAGAUGUCAAAUCAAGGUGUAGCUAAUAUUUUAGUAGAAAUGGGUUACAAUAAAUUUAUUUAGAAAAUUAUAGAAGGAGGAUUUGAAAGUAAAUUAAUUUUAAUAUA